rnacentral:rRNA from 1 species
CAGCCGCCGCGGUAAUACCAGCCCCGCGAGUGGUCGGGACGGUUAUUGGGCCUAAAGCGCCCGUAGCCGGCCCGGCAAGUCCCUCCUUAAAGCCUCGGGCCCAACCCGAGGACGGGGGGGAUACUGCCGGGCUAGGGGGCGGGAGAGGCCGGCGGUACUCCCGGGGUAGGGGCGAAAUCCGUUAAUCCCGGGAGGACCACCAGUGGCGAAGGCGGCCGGCUGGAACGCGCCCGACGGUGAGGGGCGAAAGCCGGGGGGGCGAACCGGAUUAGAUACCCGGGUAGUCCCGGCUGUAAACGAUGCGGGCUAGCUGUUGGGCGGGCUUAGAGCCCGCCCAGUGGCGCAGGGAAGCCGUUAAGCCCGCCGCCUGGGGAGUACGGCCGCAAGGCUGAAACUUAAAGGAAUUGGCGGG